CCUACGGGCGGCAGCAGUGGGGAAUAUUGCACAAUGGGGGAAACCCUGAUGCAGCGACGCCGCGUGAGUGAUGAAGUAUUUCGGUAUGUAAAGCUCUAUCAGCAGGGAAGAUAAUGACGGUACCUGACUAAGCAGCUCCGGCUAAAUACGUGCCAGCAGCCGCGGUAAUACGUAUGGAGCAAGCGUUAUCAGGAUUUACUGGGUGUAAAGGGAGCGCAGACGGGAGGGCAAGUCUGAUGUGAAAGUACGGGGCUCAACCCCGGGACUGCAUUGGAAACUGUCCGGCUAGAGUGCAGGAGAGGUAAGAGGAAUUCCUAGUGUAGCGGUGAAAUGCGUAGAUAUUAGGAGGAACACCAGUGGCGAAGGCGGCUGACUGGACUGUAACUGACGUUGAGGCUCGAAAGCGUGGGGAGCAAACAGGAUUAGAUACCCUUGUAGUG
rnacentral:rRNA from 1 species